rnacentral:rRNA from 1 species
AACGAACGCUGGCGGCAGGCCUAACACAUGCAAGUCGAGCGCCCCGCAAGGGGAGCGGCGGACGGGUGAGUAACGCGUGGGAACGUACCCUUUGCUACGGAAUAGCCUCGGGAAACUGGGAGUAAUACCGUAUGUGCCCUUCGGGGAAAGAUUUAUCGGCAAAGGAUCGGCCCGCGUUGGAUUAGGUAGUUGGUGGGGUAAUGGCCUACCAAGCCGACGAUCCAUAGCUGGUUUGAGAGGAUGAUCAGCCACACUGGGACUGAGACACGGCCCAGACUCCUACGGGAGGCAGCAGUGGGGGAAUCUUAGACAAUGGGCGCAAGCCUGAUCUAGCCAUGCCGCGUGAGCGAUGAAGGCCUUAGGGUUGUAAAGCUCUUUCAGUGGGGAAGAUAAUGACUGUACCCACAGAAGAAGCCCGGCUAACUCCGUGCCAGCAGCCGCGGUAAAGUCAGUG